rnacentral:rRNA from 1 species
UACGUAGGGGGCUAGCGUUGUCCGGAAUCAUUGGGCGUAAAGAGCGUGUAGGCGGUCCGGUAAGUCCGCUGUGAAAGUCGGGGGCUCAACCCUCGAAUGCCGGUGGAUACUGUCAGGCUAGAGUCCGGAAGAGGCGAGUGGAAUUCCUGGGUGUAGCGGUGAAAAUGCGCAGAUAUCAGGAGGAACACCGAUGGCGAAGGCAGCUCGCUGGGACGGUACUGACG